rnacentral:rRNA from 1 species
UACGAAGGUGGCAAGCGUUGUUCGGAUUUACUGGGCGUAAAGAGUGCGUAGGCGGUUUUACAAGUCAGAAGUGAAAGCCCAAGGCUCAACCUUGGAAUUGCUUUUGAAACUGUUUAACUUGAAUCCGGUAGAGGUUGGCGGAAUUCUCAGUGUAGAGGUGAAAUUCGCAGAUAUUGAGAGGAACACCAGUGGCGUAAGCGGCCAACUGGACCGGUUUUGACGCUGAGGCACGAAAGCAUGGGGAGCAAACAGG